AUUGAACGCUGGCGGCAGGCCUAACACAUGCAAGUCGAACGGUAGCACAGAGGAGCUUGCUCCUUGGGUGACGAGUGGCGGACGGGUGAGUAAUGUCUGGGAAACUGCCCGAUGGAGGGGGAUAACUACUGGAAACGGUAGCUAAUACCGCAUAACGUCGCAAGACCAAAGAGGGGGACCUUCGGGCCUCUUGCCAUCGGAUGUGCCCAGAUGGGAUUAGCUAGUAGGUGGGGUAACGGCUCACCUAGGCGACGAUCCCUAGCUGGUCUGAGAGGAUGACCAGCCACACUGGAACUGAGACACGGUCCAGACUCCUACGGGAGGCAGCAGUGGGGAAUAUUGCACAAUGGGCGCAAGCCUGAUGCAGCCAUGCCGCGUGUAUGAAGAAGGCCUUCGGGUUGUAAAGUACUUUCAGCGAGGAGGAAGGUGUUGUGGUUAAUAACCGCAGCAAUUGACGUUACUCGCAGAAGAAGCACCGGCUAACUCCGUGCCAGCAGCCGCGGUAAUACGGAGGGUGCAAGCGUUAAUCGGAAUUACUGGGCGUAAAGCGCACGCAGGCGGUCUGUCAAGUCGGAUGUGAAAUCCCCGGGCUCAACCUGGGAACUGCAUCCGAAACUGGCAGGCUAGAGUCUUGUAGAGGGGGGUAGAAUUCCAGGUGUAGCGGUGAAAUGCGUAGAGAUCUGGAGGAAUACCGGUGGCGAAGGCGGCCCCCUGGACAAAGACUGACGCUCAGGUGCGAAAGCGUGGGGAGCAGACAGGAUUAGAUACCCUGGUAGUCCACGCCGUAAACGAUGUCGACUUGGAGGUUGUGCCCUUGAGGCGUGGCUUCCGGAGCUAACGCGUUAAGUCGACCGCCUGGGGAGUACGGCCGCAAGGUUAAAACUCAAUGAAUUGACGGGGGCCCGCACAAGCGGUGAGCAUGUGUUUAAUUCGAUGCAAC
rnacentral:rRNA from 1 species